rnacentral:rRNA from 1 species
CGUAAUCAUUUGUCUUCUAAAUAAAGACCCGUAUGAAUGGCUAAAUGAGGGCAAGCCUGUCUCUUAUAAUUAAUCAGUGAAACUGAUCCUCCAGUACAAACGCUGGAAUAAACACAUAAGACGAGAAGACCCCGUGGAGCUUAAAACAAACCACUAACACACUUCAACCCUAGUGCACUGUUUUGAGUUGGGGCGACUUCGGAAUAAAAUAAAACUUCCGAGCACAGAACCACCACUUCCAACCAAGGCCAACAAGCCUAAGUAUAACCAGACCCGGCUACAUUGCCGAUCAACGAACCAAGUUACCCCGGGGAUAACAGCGCUAUCUUCUUCAAGAGUCCCUAUCAACAAGAAGGUUUACGACCUCGAUGUUGGAUCAGGACACCCAAAUGGUGCAGCCGCUAUUAUAGGUUCGUUUGUUCAACGAUUAACAGUCCUACGUGAUCUGAGUUC